rnacentral:rRNA from 1 species
GAUUAACGCUGGCGGCGUGCCUAACACAUGCAAGUCGAACGAGGUAGCAAUACCUAGUGGCAGACGGGUGAGUAACGCGUGGUCAACCUACCCUAGAGUGGGGAGUAACUAGCCGAAAGGUUAAGCUAAUACGCAUGAAACGUGCCGGGGCGAUCUCGGAAUGUUGAAAGGAAGCAAUCCGCUCAAGGACGGGACCGCGUCCCAUUAGCUAGUUGGUGGGGUAAC